CCUACGGGCGGCUGCAGUGGGGAAUAUUGGACAAUGGGCGAAAGCCUGAUCCAGCCAUGCCGCGUGUGUGAAGAAGGCCUUCGGGUUGUAAAGCACUUUCAGUGGGGAAGAAAGCCUUGGGGCUAAUACCCUCGAGGAAGGACAUCACCAACAGAAGAAGCACCGGCUAACUCCGUGCCAGCAGCCGCGGUAAUACGGAGGGUGCGAGCGUUAAUCGGAAUUACUGGGCGUAAAGCGCGCGUAGGCGGUCUGAUAAGCCGGUUGUGAAAGCCCCGGGCUCAACCUGGGAACGGCAUCCGGAACUGUCAGGCUAGAGUGCAGGAGAGGAAGGUAGAAUUCCCGGAGUAGCGGUGAAAUGCGUAGAGAUCGGGAGGAAUACCAGUGGCGAAGGCGGCCUUCUGAACUGACACUGACGCUGAGGUGCGAAAGCGUGGGUAGCAAACAGGAUUAGAUACCCGAGUAGUC
rnacentral:rRNA from 1 species